rnacentral:rRNA from 1 species
UAAACCGGAACGGGAAGGUGGGGGAGUGACGUCAAGUCAGCAUGGCCUUUAUAUCCUGGGCUACACACACGCUACAAUGGGAAGGGACAAUAGGUUGCGAAGCCGCGAGGCGGAGCCAAUCCAGCAAAACUUCCCUCAGUUCAGAUUGCAGGCUGCAACCCGCCUGCAUGAAGUUGGAGUUGCUAGUAAACGCAGGUCAGCCAUACUGCGUUGAAUACGUUCCCGGGGUUU